UAAACAGCAAUGGCGCGAAUUAAAAGAUCUGCGAAAGAUUUAUGGUCUCUUGUAACUAGUUCGCCUGUUUUGAAUUCCAAGGAUCUUAUAUUAUAUGAACUGGAAGAAAACAGUGACCGUAUUUUAAAUGGAAUUUUGUUCAUAUCUAAGUUCAA